AUCCAGCUGACGAGUCCCAAAUAGGACGAGGUGCGCGUCAAACUGGAU
rnacentral:hammerhead_ribozyme from 1 species